rnacentral:rRNA from 1 species
UACGGAAGGCAGCAGUGGGGAAUAUUGCACAAUGGGCGAAAGCCUGAUGCAGCUAUGCCGCGUGUAUGAAGAAGGCCUUAGGGUUGUAAAGUACUUUCAUCGGGGAGGAAAAAACAAACUAAUAAUUUUAUUUCUUGACGUUACCCGAAAAAGAAGCACCGGCUAACUCCGUGCCAGCAGCCGCGGUAAUACGGAGGGUGCUAGCGUUAAUCAGAAUUACUGGGCGUAAAGAGCACGUAGGUGGUUUUUUUAAGUCAGAUGUGAAAUCCCUGGGCUUAACCUAGGAACUGCAUUUUGAAACUGAAAUACUAGAGUAUCGUAGAGGGAGGUAGAAUUCUAGGUGUAGCGGUGAAAUGCGUAGAUAUCUGGAGGAAUACCUGUGGCGAAAGCGGCCUCCUAAACGAAUACUGACACUGAGGGUGCGAAAGCGUGGGGAGCAAACAGGGAUUAGAUACC